ensembl:lncRNA novel transcript, sense intronic to CYP2E1
AAGCACAUCCUGCACAGCCCUUAAUCCAUUUAACCCUGAGGUGACACAGCACAUGUUUCAGGGAGCACAGGCUUGGGGGUAGGGUUACAGAUUAACAGCAUCUCAAGGCAGAAGAAUUUUUCUUAGUACAGAACAAAAUGGAGUCUCUUAUGUCUACUUCUUUCUACAUAGACACAGUAACAGUCUGAUCUCUCUUUCUUUUCCCCACACUAUUGUAUUUUACUUUUUAUUUUUAAAAUUUUUUCAUCUCCAUAGGUUCUUGGGGAACAGGUGGUAGGUAUUUGGCUACAUAAGUAAGUUCUUUAGAGGUGAUUAAAAAAAAAAACUUGCUCAUGCAUGUUUAUAGCAGCACAUUCACAAUUGCAAAAAUGUGGAACCAACCCAAAUGCCCACGAUUCAACGAGUGGAUAAAGAAACUAUAGUAUAUACAUACGAUAGACUACUACUCAGCCAUAAAAAAUAAUGAGUUAAUGGCAUUCACAGCAACCUGGAUGGUAUUGGAGACUAUUCUUCUAAGUGAAGUAACUCAGGAAUGGAAAAUCAAACAUCGUAUGUUCUUACUCAUGAGUAGGAGCUAAGCUAUGAGAAUGCAAAGGCAUAAGAAUAGACUUUGGGGACACACAAUGGACUUUGGGAACUCACGGGAAAGGGUGGGAAGGGGGUGAGGGAUAAAAGACUGUAAAUUGAGUUCAGUGUAUACUGCUCAGGAGAUGCGUGUACCUCAAAUUUCACAAAUCACCACUAAAGAUUGGUUGAUAUUUAUGAUC